CCGGUCGGCCUAUGGAACCACCAUUGUGUGCUCCGUGCAUUACGUCGAAAGCAAAUACGCCCUCUAAUCGGUGUGGUCUUGCACGCAUCGGUGGGGCUUGAUAGAAAUUCAAUCCUCGACGCUGAACCCUAACGAGAAAGCGAUGAUGACCCGGUGACCCCCAAAUCGUGAAAGCGUUAGGCGAAAGCAUCGGCAUUAGUUGGUUACGUCUGCUGGCUCCARCCCGGGUGUAAAUUAUCAAUCUCUUGAUAGUCUCAAGCCCGCGAUUACGAUUUUCAAGUGAUUAUCUUCCUGGAUCGUUGUCAACCGGGCUUGAUUGGUUCACAAGCUCGUGAUGGGUACCGUCACUUGUGGGUUUCGUUGCUGCCUGGUCUUGCUUAUAUAUAUGUGCGUGUCCGGACUCGUUUCGCAUGCCUCGUUCACGAUUUGAAUCCAUCGCUUUGCGUAGGAAUGGUGGGCUCGUUCCUUUAGGUGGCGUUGAUUAAGCGCGAGCUUUCGAUCAAUGGCCCAUAUAUGGAGUCNUUUGGUGUUUGUUGUGCGAGCAACAUGACCGACCGGUUCCUUCUACGUGGAUAUAUAUAAGCAAGCGAUGAUGCAACGGAACCGACAAGCCACGGUACCCCAUGGACCCUUCCUGACGGACCCUUCCCGACAGACCCUUCCUGAUGGACCCUUCCUGACGACGGUUUAUAUUCCUGAUUUUCCCAUCGUUCGGGGCAUUCUGGGGCUGUUUUGGCUAUUGGUUGCUUGUUUGGUCUUGAGCCGAACGGGUGGCUUCUAGCCUAGUGGCUUCGGGGAUGUUGAGCGUAAAGGUGGAUGAGUGGUGUUUGGUUUGUUACGUGUGGUUGGCUGCGGCGUUUGCAACAACUUCCAUGCUUUCAGACCUCUUCAUUUGUGCGGCAAGGCUUGUAUCGCCUUGAGCGUAUUGUGGGUUUUCUGUGUUGAAUACCUAAUCAAUGGUAUCGGUUGGAUUGAUCAAUGUUUCAUUUCGUCUGUCGUCGCAUUUGCGGCGUGAGAUGAACCUUGAUGCGGUCUCUUUGAUCCACCUUGUUGAAGCGUAUGCUUNGACGUUGUGGCGCAUUGAGCAUUGCUUGGUCUCUUGUAUGCGGAACAUGUAGUGGGCAUGAAUCUCACGAUUCUCGUUUGCCCUCAUAUUAGCGUAACGCUUCUCUUACACGACUUGCUCC
rnacentral:misc_RNA from 1 species